rnacentral:rRNA from 2 species
UCUGGUGACAAUGGCAAAGAGGUCACACCUGUUCCCAUGCCGAACACAGAAGUUAAGCUCUUUAGCGCCGAUGGUAGUCGG